rnacentral:rRNA from 1 species
UGGGGAAUAAUGGACAAUGCGCGCAAGCGUGAUCCUGCUACGCCGCGUGAGUGAAGAAGGCUUUAGAGUUGUAAAACUCUUUUAGUGGGAAAGAUAAUGACGGUACCCACAGAAAAAGUCCCGGCUAACUCCGUGCCAGCUGCCGCGGUGACACGGAGGGGGCAAGCGUUACUCGGCAUUACUGGGCGUAAAGAGUGUGUAGGCGGUUUGGUAAGUUGAAAGUGAAAUCCCAGGGCUCAACCUUGGAACUGCUUUCAAAACUGCUAGACUAGAGUUGGAUAGAGGGUGAUGGAAUUUCUAGUGUAAAGGUGGAAUUUGUAGAUAUUAGAAGGAACACCAGAGGCGAAGGCGAUCUCCUGGGUCUAUACUGACGCUGAGACACGAAGGCAUGGGGAGCAAA